rnacentral:lncRNA from 1 species
UUUGUAAUAUUUCUAGAAGAAAUAUUAAUUUGGUAGUGUCCGAGGACGUAAGCUAAAUUGGCCGAACCUCGUUAAAUCUCUGGUAUUUUAUUUCUUAUUUGUUUGCUUAUAUUUAAUAGCUUUAUGUUGGUUAUAUUUAUUUAGUUAUUAUUGCUAUAAAUAUCUAAGUGAGUUCUGUCUAGUUGUUGGGUUUUAAGCGGGACCAUUUGUGACCCCUCCAAUUUAACUGGGAAUUUUCUUAGUAUAAUUGUUGGCAUAAUAAUUAUCUAAAUAUUUCUGAUAAUAUUGUUAUUAAUAUUAUCGUCGCUUCCGCAACACCUACAUGAUAAUAUAAGAUAAAUAACAUGUGUUUAAAAUGAAUAAUAACCAUAAAUAAAUAAUGAACUAAUAGAAAACAACAAAUUUUGAAUUACAAAUUUUAAAAACUAUGUAAUAUGCAUAAAAGAUAAUAAUUAAUGAAUCGGUUAAUAUAUAAAAGUGUGGGAAAAAAAAUAACAUAAAAUACAAGAUCUUAAAAUAAACAAUCAUAAGACAAUUUUUAAAAUAAAUAAUACAUAAAAAAAUAAUAUAUAAAAAAUAGUUUUAACUAAUUAAUAUAAACAAACAUUUAAAGUCAAUAAUAUAUAUUAACAUAAAUAAUAUACAUGAAAGAAAGUUAAAUAAAAAAAUUUGAAAUAAAUAAUAUAUAAGGAGAUUUAAAAUAAACAAUAAUAAAACAGAAAAGUAAUAUAUAAAUAAAUCAAAACAAGUUAAGGACAAAUUUGAAAUUAAAACAAAAUCUGAGAUCUAGAAGCUAAACAUUACAUCAACAAAAGGGGCAAGAUGGAAUUCAUGAGAACCAAUGGGGAUUAGAACAGAAAAUAAACCAAACCCAAUUUUAUUUGUUUCCAAAGACUUAAACGACGCUGUUUUAUCAGUUAUUAAAGCUAGAAAAAAACUUUGAAAUUGUUGUCUACCAUUUUUAAAGAACAGACCCAUCAUUUUAUUAGGGUUUCGGGAUCCCUAUGCCCCAAAUGGUCGCCGCAAUGCCAAAAGAUUAGAGGAAAUUUCUCCCUCCAAAGGCCAACUUCUACGACAGAGGAAGAGUUACCGACGAUGGAGGAGCGAGUCAACUCAGGUAUUCCUCUCUCUUUUCUCUUUUUUUUUUGUUUUUUACACACAAAUAAAAGGAAUAAAAAAAAAUCAAAAGAACCAAACAAUCGAAAGGAAAAACUGAAAACAGCUUCAAAAUUUGAUUUGUAUUCAUAUUUUUGCGUCUGUUUUCUUGUGUAUUCCCUUUGCUAGUGUAUUCGUGAAAAAAAAGAAACGACCCCCUAUUCGCACACUUCCUUUACUGUAAGCAGUGAUUGAUGAUGCGCAGAUGCCAUGGCAAAUCAAAUCUCAAGGAUUGUCCGCUUCGACUUCGAGAUCCCAUCUUUACUUCGAUUGCAACGAAGAAGAUGGGCUACAAUCGCUAAGGUAAAUCCCUUUCUUUCUUUUUAUUUUCUAAAUGCGAUGAUGAAAGAUUUGAAGAAAUAAAUUACCAAGUAAAAAAAGAAAUUGCAGAAAUCAAAACAGAGAUUACUUUUUCAAAAAUGGCUUUCGAAUAUUUCCUAUUCAAUCUGCGUGUUUAGUAUGGGUAACCCCCAUACAAUGAGAAUGUUUAUGGCUUUAUAGCCGAAAAUAAAAAAGGAAAAUACAAAGAAUUUUUGUUGUUUUUUCUCUUUGUUGUGUUGUCCUUUUUGCAUCUGUGCGUAGGUAGGAAGGUACGGAGCUCGGUGGUUGAACGGCGCUGUGCUGGAGAUGAGGACGAGGGGUUGCAGUGCCUAGUAGCUAGGGUUUUCGCCCUUCAGCUGAAGCUUGUUUCAGUUUUGGGCCGUUUGGGCCAGGGGUAUUUUUGGGCUACUUGGGUUAAUUCGGUUUUGGGUUUUAAAUUUGGGUUUGGGUUUGUAAUGUUUUGAGUUUAAAAUUGGGUUGUGUAAUUUGGACUUGUGGACUGUAUUAUUUUUUGUUUUGGGAUUGAUUUUUGGUUGUUAGGCCCGGGCGGAUUUGGCCCAUUACAAAGCCAAAUCAAAUAUAAGUUCAAAAGAAAAAGAAAUCACCACUACAAGGUUUGAUACAUCUUCAAUGUCAACAACAUUUUCUAGAAACGUAAAAAACUUCAUCAAAUAGCAAACAAACAUAUACUUCUUAUAUAGCAUAAGAACAACAAUCCCAACACAUCAUAAAAACCAACACUCAAACCAAUAGCUUCCCUUUUUUUUCAACAAACUUGUCAAUCAUAAUCUCUUGAUUAGACCGAAGAAAAACGAAUGUUGAAGAAUAUGGGGAUUAAAA